AUGGGGAGAACAUGUGUUUAUGUUCAUCAUGUGGAUAAAGAGGCCUUUUUGAAAGGCAAUGUUGAGCCGGACCCGGAUGAGCUUGACAUGGUGUUUGAGAGUAGUCCAAGCUAUGCGGAGCUCUUGGACCAAGUGAGGAAGGAUUUGAAUUGGAUGGACCCAAGUGACGUUGUUGAGUUCGUGGGAAGGCAUAAUGUUGGUUUUGGAAUGCACAUCCGUUGGAAGACAAUGUGUGUGAACUGCGAGCAACGUUGGGUUGCAUACAAGGAGACGGUUGCCGAAUCUCUAGACAAGGCUCUUGAGUUAUUUGCCUCCAAGAAGGUUGAGUCUACUUUGAAUUUGGACUUGAACCGGAACCCCUCCCCGUUGGUUGCUAGCACUCCACCACCCAUGAACCAAGAUCAAAUGAGUGAACCUCAUUUCACGCAACAAGAUUGGCCAACAUUGAGCCCGACUCCAAACAACCAAAAUGAAGGUUUUGAAGAGGAGAAUGAUGAGUACGAGGAGGAUGACAACGAAGUUGAUCUCCAUGACAACAAUGUGGGUGAUCUCGACCAAUAUCAUGUGCAAGAGACAAUGGACCAAUCCAUCCCUUUUUCCCAUGCAUAUGCAUCGGACUCGGAUGACGAUGGUCCUGAUGAAGAAGUUGAUGAGGAGGGGUUCACACCGAAGGAGGCCCAAGCAUUCAAGAAGGUAUUCGGGCGGGAUCACAAGACACCAUUGUUCAAGGAUCUUAGUCUCGCGGAUGAAGCCGUUGUGGAUGGUGGCAAAUGCAUAUCUCUUGGAGCUAGGCCAAGUUCUCACCGUGAUUUGGAAGACGGCAAGAACGGGAUAUAUCCCGGUUGUGAGUUUCAAUCCUUCUUGGAAUUGAAGAUGUGGCUCGACAACUACUCGGUUACGCAUUAUCGUCCACAUAAAGUGGCCAAAUCGGACGUCAAUGUGCGUUACACGGUCAAAUGUGAAGUGCCAAGUUGUCCAUGGAUUGUGCGUGCAAGGCCAUGGAAAGGAGGUCCCACUUGGCGCAUAGUGAGUUGUCUACCAAAUCACAUGUGCCGACACAAGAAUGCGGAUGGCAAGCUUGUGUACCAACAACACAGACAACUCACGUCCGAGUUCAUCGCUUAUAGGCUUUCCAACCAAAUAUCCACACUUCCAACAAUGAGCAUCAAGAGUGUCAUUGACCUUGUGAAAGCCAUCUUUCAUUACAAGGUGAAGUACGGCAAGGCAUGGAAGGCAAAGCAAGCCGCAUUCAAGAUGUUGUAUGGCAAUUGGGAGGAAGCAUACAACCGACUCCCUAGGUUGUUGUUAGCUAUGGCCACUACAAACCCAGGCAUGGUUCACGUGGUUGAGCCUCAUGGGCACCAAACAUUGAUUCACAACGGGAGGACCGUCCGAGUAUUUGGCCGUGCAUUUUGGGCCUUUGAGCAAUGCAUGAGGACUUUUGAGCAUUGUCGGUCCGUCAUCGCCAUUGAUGGCACGUUCUUGACCGGACAAUACAAGGGCACUUUAUUGGUUGCAAUAGCAAGUGAUGCCAAUAACCGGGUGUUGCCUUUGGCUUUCGCUUUGGUUGAGGUGGAGAACAAUGAUAACUGGGAGUGGUUCUUGCGUCAAUUGAGAACAAGGGUAUUACCGGCUGAAAGGGAAAUUUGUGUCAUAUCGGAUCGCCAUCCAGGAAUUCUCAAUGCGGUGGUGGUUGACAUUCCCGGACAUAGAAAGUUGCACCAUCAAUGGUGCAUGAGGCACUUUUGUGCAAACUUCUAUAGGGCAUGUGGUAUCAAGGAGUUGGCCGAUGAUCUUCAAGAUUGUUGUCUCGCUUUCACCAACAAGCGGUUUGCCACAUUGUUCAAUGCAUUGCUCAGACACAAGAAACUUGACCCCGGUGGUCAUGAAUUUCUCAGUAAGAACAUUGUCGAAAGGAAUUAUCGGUUUGGUGUUAGGGUUAUGCUAUGGUUAGGAUUGUGUUAUUGUUAA
rnacentral:rRNA from 1 species